AUUGAACGCUGGCGGCAGGCCUAACACAUGCAAGUCGAGCGAGCGGCGGACGGGUGAGUAAUGUAUGGGGACUGCCCGAUAGAGGGGGAUAACUACUGGAAACGGUAGCUAAUACCGCAUACUAUCGGAUAACCCAUAUGGGAUUAGCUAGUAGGUGAGGUAAUGCCUCACCUAGGCGACGAUCCCUAGCGGGUCUGAGAGGAUGAUCAGCAACACUGGGACUGAGAAACGGCCCAGACUCCUACGGGGCCAGCAGGGGGAAAAUUUGCACAAUGGGCGCAAGCCUGAUGCAGCCAUGCCGGGUGUAUGAAGAAGGCCCUAGGGUUGUAAAGUACUUUCAGUCGGGAGACGUUACCGACAGAAGAAGCACCGGCUAACUCCGUGCCAGCAGCCGCGGUAUUC
rnacentral:rRNA from 1 species